rnacentral:rRNA from 1 species
GACGAACGCUGGCGGCGUGCUUAACACAUGCAAGUCGAACGGAAAGGCCCUGCUUUUGUGGGGUGCUCGAGUGGCGAAAGGGUGAGUAACACGUGAGUAACCUGCCCUUGACUUUGGGAUAACUUCAGGAAACUGGGGCUAAUACCGGAUAGGAGCUCCUGCUGCAUGGUGGGGGUUGGAAAGUUUCGGCGGUUGGGGAUGGACUCGCGGCUUAUCAGCUUGUUGGUGGGGUAGUGGCUUACCAAGGCUUUGACGGGUAGCCGGCCUGAGAGGGUGACCGGCCACAUUGGGACUGAGAUACGGCCCAGACUCCUACGGGAGGCAGCAGUGGAGAAUAUUGCACAAUGGGCGGAAGCCUGAUGCAGCAACGCCGCGUGCGGGAUGACGGCCUUCGGGUUGUAAACCGCUUUCGCCUGUGACGAAGCGUGAGUGACGGUAAUGGGUAAAGAAGCACCGGCUAACUACGUG